GUCGAGAAUAUUCGACAAUGGGCGAAAGCCUGAUCGAGCGACGCCGCGUGGAUGAAGAAGUACUUCGGUAUGUAAAAUUCUUUUCUGAGGGAUGAAUCCGCAAGGAUGACAGUACCUCAGGAAUAAGGGGGUGCAAAUUCUGUGCCAGCAGCCGCGGUAAUACAGAACCCCCAAGCGUUAUCCGGAUUUAUUGGGCGUAAAGGGUCCGUAGGUGGUUUGAUUAGUCCAAGGUUAAAUACUUCAGGCUCAACCUGGAGGGUGCUUUGGAAACGGUCAAACUUGAGGGCAUUAGGGGCUGAUGGAACGGUCGGUGUAGGGGUGAAAUCCGUUGAUAUCGACCGGAACACCAAAAGCGAAGGCAUUCAGCUGGGGUGACCCUGACACUGAGGGACGAAAGCGUGGGGAGCAAAAAGGAUUAGAUACCCUGGUAGUCC
rnacentral:rRNA from 1 species